rnacentral:rRNA from 1 species
AUAAGUGCAUAUGGUGGAUGCCUUGGCGAUUACAGGCGAUGAAGGGCGUGGAAGCCUGCGAAAAGCUCCGGGGAGCUGGCAAACAAGCAUUGAUCCGGAGAUGUCCGAAUGGGGAAACCCGGCCCGCAAGGGUCAACCUUGGCUGAAUACAUAGGUCAAGCGUGGCAAACCUGGCGAACUGAAACAUCUAAGUAGCCAGAGGAACAGAAAUCAACCGAGAUUCCCAGAGUAGCGGCGAGCGAAAUGGGAGGAGCCUUCAACUUUUAGCAUUUAAACUAGCCAAGCCGUCUGGAAAGUCGGGCCAUAGUGGGUGAUAGCCCCGUAGGUGAAAGUUUAAAUGUGGAACUAGGGUUGAAACAAGUAGGGCGGGACACGAGAAAUCCUGUUUGAAUAUGGGGGGACCAUCCUCCAAGGCUAAAUACUCGUAAUCGACCGAUAGUGAACCAGUACCGUGAGGGAAAGGCGAAAAGAACCCCGGGAGGGGAGUGAAAUAGAUCCUGAAACCGUAUGCAUACAAACAGUGGGAGCCCCUGCUUAAAGAACCUUUGUUUUUUGCUUUAUUUUUUGGUAAGUAGAAUAAAUCAAAAUUAUAAAGGGUGAAGAAAUCUUUUUUGGGAAAAGAACCCCAAGGGUUCUUUAAGCAGGGGUGACUGCGUACCUUUUGUAUAAUGGGUCAGCGACUUACAUUCAGUAGCAAGCUUAACCAAAUAGGGGAAGCGUAGCGAAAGCGAGUCUUAAUAGGGCGUUUAGUUGCUGGGUGUAGACCCGAAACCAGAUGAUCUACUCAUGGCCAGGAUGAAGCGGGGGUAACACCUCGUGGAGGUCCGAACCCACUAAUGUUGAAAAAUUAGGGGAUGAGCUGUGGGUAGGGGUGAAAGGCUAAACAAAUCUGGAAAUAGCUGGUUCUCUCCGAAAACUAUUUAGGUAGUGCCUCACGUAUCACCUUUGGGGGUAGAGCACUGUUAUGGCUAGGGGGCCGCUUAGGCUUACCAAACCAUGGCAAACUCCGAAUACCGAAGAGUGCAAGCGUGGGAGACAGACAUUGGGUGCUAACGUCCGGUGUCGAAAGGGAAACAACCCAGACCCUCAGCUAAGGUCCCAAAGUACAGUUAAGUGGUAAACGAGGUGGGAAGGCAAAAACAGUCAGGAAGUUGGCGUAGAAGCAGCCAUCUUUUAAAGAAAGCGUAAUAGCUCACUGAUCGAGUCGUCCUGCGCGGAAGAUGUAACGGGGCUCAAACUGUACACCGAAGCUAGGGAUCUACAUGCAAGUGUAGAUGGUAGGAGAGCGUUCCGUAGGCCUGCGAAGGUGGCUUGUGAAGGCUGCUGGAGGUAUCGGAAGUGCGAAUGCUGACAUGAGUAGCGAUAAAGGGAGUGAAAGGCUCCCUCGCCGUAAGCCCAAGGUUUCCUGUGCAACGUUCAUCGGCGCAGGGUGAGUCGGCCCCUAAGGUGAGGCAGAAAUGCGUAGCUGAUGGGAAACUGGUUAAUAUUCCAGUACCUUUGUUCAAUGCGAUGUGGGGACGGAGAAGGUUAACUCAGCCGGGUGUUGGAUGUCCCGGUUCAAGCGUGUAGAUAUGCUGCCUAGGCAAAUCCGGGCGGCUUAGUUGAGGCGCGAUAACGCAACGCCCCUCGGGGCGCCAAGUGAGUGAUACCCUGCUUCCAGGAAAAGCCACUAAGCUUCAGUUGAAUAAAGACCGUACCGCAAACCGACACAGGUGGGCGGGAUGAAAAUUCUAAGGCGCUUGAGAGAACUCAGGAGAAGGAACUCGGCAAAUUGACACCGUAACUUCGGGAUAAGGUGUACCCUCGGUACGUGUAGCGCCUCGCGCGUGAAGCGGAUGAGGGUUGCAAAGAAAUGGUGGCUGCGACUGUUUAAUAAAAACACAGCACUCUGCAAACACGCAAGUGGACGUAUAGAGUGUGACGCCUGCCCGGUGCCGGAAGGUUAAAUGAUGGGGUGCAAGCUCUUGAUUGAAGCCCCGGUAAACGGCGGCCGUAACUAUAACGGUCCUAAGGUAGCGAAAUUCCUUGUCGGGUAAGUUCCGACCUGCACGAAUGGCGUAACGAUGGCCACACUGUCUCCUCCUGGGACUCAGCGAAGUUGAAAUGGUUGUGAAGAUGCAAUCUACCCGCGGCUAGACGGAAAGACCCCGUGCACCUUUACUGUAGCUUUACAUUGGGCUUUGAGAAUAUCUGUGUAGGAUAGGUGGGAGGCAUUGAAGUGGACUCGCUAGAGUUCAUGGAGCCAACGUUGAAAUACCACCCUGAUGUUGUUGAGGUUCUAACCUAGGUCCAUUAUCUGGAUCGGGGACCGUGUAUGGUAGGCAGUUUGACUGGGGCGGUCUCCUCCCAAAGAGUAACGGAGGAGUACUAAGGUACGCUAGGUACGGUCGGAAAUCGUGCUGAUAGUGCAAUGGCAAAAGCGUGCUUGACUGCGAGACUGACAAGUCGAGCAGAUGCGAAAGCAGGUCAUAGUGAUCCGGUGGUUCUGUAUGGAAGGGCCAUCGCUCAACGGAUAAAAGGUACGCCGGGGAUAACAGGCUAAUUCCUCCCAAGAGUUCAUAUCGACGGGGGAGUUUGGCACCUCGAUGUCGGCUCAUCACAUCCUGGGGCUGUAGCCGGUCCCAAGGGUAUGGCUGUUCGCCAUUUAAAGUGGUACGUGAGCUGGGUUUAAAACGUCGUGAGACAGUUUGGUCCCUAUCUGCCGUGGGCGCUGGAAGUUUGAGAGGACCUGCUCCUAGUACGAGAGGACCGGAGUGGACGCACCUCUGGUGUACCGGUUAUGACGCCAGUCGUAUUGCCGGGUAGCUAAGUGCGGAAGAGAUAACCGCUGAAAGCAUCUAAGCGGGAAACUCACCUCAAGAUGAGACUUCCCGGGGGUUAAACCCCCCUAAAGGUUCGUCGAAGACUACGACGUUGAUAGGUCGGAUGUGGAAGCGCAGCAAUGCGUUGAGCUAACCGAUACUAAUUGACCGUGCGGCUUGAUC